AGAGUUUGAUCCUGGCUCAGGACGAACGCUAGCGGCGUGCCUAAGGUAUGCAAGUCGAACGGGUCUAGGUUUCGGCCUAGGCUAGUGGCGAACGGUCGAGGAACACGUAGACAACCUACCGCGAAGUGGGGGAUAACUGCGGGAAACUGCAGCUAAUACCGCAUACGGUCGGGGAAGGCAGCUUCUCCGCACCAAAGGCGCAAGCCGCUUGGCGAUGGGUCUGCGGCCUAUCAGCUUGCUGGGGAGGUAACGGCUCACCAGGGCGACGACGGGUAGCUGGUCUGAGAGGAUGAUCAGCCGGACGGGGACUGAGACACGGCCCCGACUCCUUCGGGAGGCAGCAAUGAGGAAUAUUGCGCAAUGGGGGAAACCCUGACGCAGCGACGCCGCGUGGGUGAGGAAGUCCUUCGGGAUGUAAAGCCCUUUUCUCCGGGACGAAACGGACGGUACCGGAGGAAGAAGCCCCGGCUAACUACGUGCCAGCAGCCGCGGUAAUACGUAGGGGGCGAGCGUUGUCCGGAUUUACUGGGCGUAAAGCGCGCGUAGGUGGAAGGUCAAGCGGGGCCUGAAAGCCCCCGGCUCAACCGGGGAAAGCGGCCGCGAACUGGCCUUCUUGAGGGCGAGAGAGGCGGGUGGAAUUCCUGGUGUAGCGGUGAAAUGCGUAGAGAUCGGAGGAACACCGGUGGCGAAGGCGGCCCGCUGGCUCGCAACUGACGCUGAGGCGCGAAAGCGUGGGGAGCGAACGGGAUUAGAUACCCUAGUAGUCC
rnacentral:rRNA from 1 species